UUUAUUUAUGUUGCAUCAUGACGUCAUCGAUUUUACGACGUCUGGUGGGCGGUCUCGCGAGUCGGCCAUGUUGGAUUUACCCGAGUGAGGAGUUGAUUUCAGGACAGACCUCCCGAUGUGGAUGUGGUAAACAUUUAAAUUAGUUUUUUAUUUGGUUUCAAUGCGCACUUUUAUUUUCCUGCUUGAAGUGGACACCCGGUCCUCGUUUUCAUUCUUUAACUGAUGUUUCAUGUCCUCGUUUUCAUCAGCGCUCUGAUUUGACAUUGGACUGGAUUGAAGAGUGCGUCAAAGAGUUAGUGUUUAUCACCCGGAAUCGAAUUGAUUUGCUUUUACAUUCCAGUGAAAAUGUUUGCUACCUCCAAUGAGUGCCGAGUCUGUCCGCAUG